CCCCCCCCCGCCCUGCUGGGCACCUCCCUCACGGAUUCGCUCCGGCUGCAGCGCCCACAUGGAUCGCAUUUGCGGUGUGCAGGUCGAGCAUGUGGUUCAUCCCUGCCGCAAGUCAAUCACAUCGCUGCUGAAGUGGGCGAGGAGUCUAUCUUUCUCAUGAAUUCGUGGCAAGAACAGUGUAUUUGCUACGUGGCGGUCACUCCAACUGUUGUGUGUGUGUGCAUGUGGGGUGAGUGUGCAGUCUUGUGAUGUCAUGUGCGAUUAGGAUGCGAGGGAAAAAAUCCCUGCUUAAAGAUUCAUUGUGGGAGUUGUUCGUACCUUUUGGGACGUGGUUGAUCGAAAGGUGUGAGUAUUCUUGUGAUUCAUUCUGAAGAAUUGCUGCAUGAAGCUCUCAAGAUAUAAAACAGCGAAUGACGUGCGCAACCUAUUUGGCAGAGUCGAAUCCCAUAGCUAUACUGGUUUAAGCAAAUGGAGCCAACACAAAGGGGACUUUAAUUUGGUGAAUGGAAUUUGGAAGGGCGAGUGCCGUUAAGCGGGGUGCAGAUCAGCGAUGGAGAAAAGCUCAUGGGCACCUUUUGCCCCCACUCUCCUCACGAUUACUGUGCUGUCUAAUUGAAGUUUUUCCAAAAAUCCUAAAAAUUGUCUCACCCUCCAUAACGACAUGGAAAACCCUCGCCCUCAAUCGCUUAUUUGCUCUAUGUACGAGGGUGUGCUCAACAAACCUUUAGAUGCUUGUAAUCCUUCGAGUCAUCCUUGCACGCCUUUCGUGAAGUAUUUCGUGCAGCAUGCCUUAGUCUCCUUCUCAGGCAGUGAGACCAUAUCAACUACAGGUGCAUAUUCCCCUCGCUAUGUUUCUAGGCACAGCAGCUCUGACAAAACAUCACGGAGAAAGUCUUCGUAGUACGUACCUCACAGGAAUUGCAACUAUUUGAAAGUGCAGAAUCACCGCAUCUUGGAAGCCUCCAUACAGUGUCCCAUGUCUGAACAAGCGGGAGAAUCCAAAUGAUUGCGCAUGCAUUUUGGAGUUACAGGGAGUUUCUGAGAAACUACUCCCAGGGUAUGUAGGAUUUUGCCUAGAUAUUUUCGCCCACGUUUCGUCCUGCCAUCCAUUGCGUUGGAUGAAUUAGGGCUGCGGAACUGUCUCUGGUCACGGGAUGAUUCACCAGAGUACCUACUUGAGCAGAGCCACAGAAUGAGCAAGUAACUCUGUUUUUUGGCAUAGUCAUUGCGCCUGCUAGCGCCACGAAACGUGCAGAUUGUGACAUCCCUCUUCCGAAUGUUGGUUUGGAUGUUGAUUGUACGCCUAACAAGUAUCAUUUCCGACCAUAAAGUGCCUUUGUCUGUUUGACGAUGGCGUCUGUAUGUUUGUGCCCCUUGUUACUUGCUCAUUCUGUGGCUCUGCUCGAGUCCACUUUUUUGUAGAGUGCCACCUUCGCAGAUUAGGUUUGUUGAUGCCUAGUUGUGGUUGUUGCGCGGAUUCUAUGCUAGUUCUUUCUUGUAAUUUGGUUUGCAGGCCAGGCAUAUGAUAUGAAAUGAAAUGCAGAUCCCUCUUGAAUCCCGAUUUCUUGAGUGCCCGAUCCUGCACCGAGUACUGUCCGUGAUCUUGAACAAGAACGAGGUUAACUCUCUCGAACUGGAUCUUGGGCGAAGGACGAACAUGAUUUAAUACACUUAUAUCCUUGAUUUUUUUCACAAGUCUUAAUUACGUUUUUUGAUCGGCUAUGGAACAAUCAGUUCCUCUAAAUCAGUUAGUUAAAUGAACUAAUCAACCAACUGGGUAUACUUAUCACUGUUCGACCCGUUGAAGGACGAUUCGAGUCAUGAAACUUUGUGGCAUUGGCAAAAUCCGGAACAGAUGAUGAAUAGUUGGAAUCGAAAAUCAAGACAAAGAAGAAGAGUGAAAUAAGCGAACUCUCAAUCCACCUGGUCACUCGCGUCUGUUACGUAGUCGACCAAGUUUCAAGAGACAGUGACACCAUGCAGCAGCGUGUGGCUUGCGCAUGAAGCCUUGCCGAGGAAAGUGGUAAUAAAUCUGUGGGGUUGUCGAUGGACCCAGUCUGAAGGUUGUUGUCAUCAGGGAGGCAAAAAAUCAUCUGACCAAGGGCAACAUGUUUAGUCGCUUGCAGAUCGACGACUCAGUGUGCAAUGACUGACCCAUCUUCUCGAGGACGCAGAUUUGUAAACUAUUCACUGUUGCAGGAAUCAAAGUAGCUUCAGCAUCGCCGCAAUCACCGCUUAGAUGACUGGAGUAACAAUGCCAAAGAUGGGUCUUUUCCUUGUCGGAGCGUGCGCAUGACUCAAAACACUAUUGAUUUGAGGGAAUACACAAACAAUCAUAUAAAACGCGGUGCAAACUUACACACAGGAAUUGUAGAGUUUGCGGGUAUAAAUACUAUUGAGAUAAUGCUCAAAGCCCGAGUGCUGAGCCUUAAUUCUAGGAUCUCAAUUACCCACUACGACAAUUGUCUAUGUGGAUGAUAAGAAGAAAUGGAUGCUCUAACACCCUCCCUUGCUACGAAACCAUCCACUUGAAAAAACAACGAGAAAACCUCCUGCCCUAAUUUAACAUGUCUAUUAAGUACUGUCUCUUGCGGAGCGACAGCAGUGUACAAACAAUUGUAUUUUAAUAGAAUUCACAGAAUUCGUUGUGGGAGUGCUUCCGUUUGCUCUUGUGAGUGCGUUUCCUCAGCUCUUAAA